CUACGGCAAUAUCACGUUGAAACACCAGUUCUCGUAUGAUCACCGAAGUUAAUCAACGUCGAGCCUGGUCAGUACCUAGAUGGGUGACCGUUUAGGUAUACCAGAUGCUGUAA